rnacentral:lncRNA from 1 species
GCUGGCCCCCAUCUGUGCUUUCGACUGGAUUCAGAACUCAGUUUAUCUUCCAGGCUCCCUGUCUUUGGGUCUUGAUCACCACAGAGGGGAAGGGGAGAAUCCAGAGAUAAAAUGUGAGACUGAAACUGUUUUAAAGAAGCAUACAAGAAAGAAGCACACACUUUAUUAGGGAGAUGUUGAUGAGAUGCUUACAACCCGCCCGCCACCCCCCAGCCCCAGCUAGGCCAUCUGGCAGGUACCGCCCGUGCGCCAGGCAUCGUUUUCAAAUUGCAAGACCGAAAUCCAAUCAACCGAAAUAAUUUCUUAGGAAGAUAAGCUUGCAACACGUGCAAUAAUGAAAAAAUUUAACUAGCAUUAAAAAUAUUCAGGAAUGUCGAGCAAUUACCACCUGGCCGCAGUCACAGGACAGAAGACGGAAUAAAUGGGCACGCACCAAAGGUUUAUAUUAAAGUGUAAGUUUCAGCCCCUCAGUAUAUUUAAGGGAGGCUGCUCUGCAGAGGAAACCUCUGCCUUCUCGGCGAGGGAGUUUCCGAGCUACCUUAACUGGGGCGCAACGCAGCCUUCCGCCACCAGAGGCAGCGGGCGUCUGCGGCCUGUCAAAAACUGGCGCUUUUUUCCUCCCCUUUCCGUGGAGAGACUAUCAACUCCAUCUGUCACAAAAAUUAAGGCUAAAUCUCCUCUCCAGAAGCAGAGGGAGCCGGGGCUCCGACGCGCUCAGCGUCGGGCUGUCUGCCUCUCCCUAGAGGCCAAGUGAAUUUGAAAUGGCAAAAGUCACAGCCGGAGGCCCAGCACUAGGAGAUUCCUCCGGCUGCGGGAAAUCUUCCUGUACCUGCUGAAGCUGCUGCGUUCCUCAGAGGCGCUUGGUCUGCCGUGGGAAGCUGCACCUCUGCAGUCCCCAAAACCAAAAUCAAACCUUAAAAGAGCCAGACUGAGAAGCCAGUCACCACGUAAGACAUCUGGACCACCUUCAGACUCGCAUGCUGUGAGGAAGCCCAUGCUUACUAUGUGUAGAGGAUACAUGGAGAAGGAAAGAGAUGCCUGGCCAGCUCCCUGCUGUUUCAGCCAUGCAGAGGUGCUGAGCAGCUAAUUGGAGGGGAUAGUAUGAGCCUCCAAAGAUUAGGGAAGAAAAUUGCAGUUGAAGAAAACUUGCUUUGGUUCAAUGCAAAAAUAAUGGGAUGAAUGGCAUGCUGAAAUAUCAUAUGACUUACGAAAAUGAUGAAUGGUUUAUUGAAUCUACAUAUGUGGAACCCAUGAAUGGGAGUCGGAGAAGGGGGCAACUGUAUACGCAAAAAGCUAUCAUAAUUGCCAAAAUAGUGAUAACAAUGUUGAAACACUACUGGGAUUACUACUGUUAAUGACUACCAGUGAUCAAGCACCUCCCCUGCCCCAGUGUUUGCCUGCCUUGUUUGAAGACACGAAAAAAUGUACACAAAAUGAUUUAGAACUGUUGAACUUUUCAGAAAAUAAUUUAAAAUCAUCUACCUCAUAACUAAAGGACACUGAAUUGGAGCCAGCUGAUGUAAGGAGCUUACCUUGGUUGCCACCUUCUGGUCUCUGUUUGAGGAACAACUGCAUGUGAUUAAGGAUGAAGAAACUGAGACCCCAAGAAUUUAAGUAAUUUGUUCAAGGCAACACACUGCUAUGUGGUAGAACUACAAAUUGAGCCCAAAUAAUCCAGCUUCAGAUACUAUGCAAAGGUAUCCUAGGUGUGGGGGUGAUAACCUGGUGACAAUCCCUUCUCAGAAGGAAAACAGGUCCCAUCUACAGAGGUGAAGCAGAGUGUGGAACUGAAAAACUCAAUGGAAGAAUGGCUAUUAAGAUUUAGGACGGCUGGGAAAUAAUAAAGUAAUAAUAAUAAUACUAGGUAUUGACGUGUGCUACAUGCCAGGCCUUGGGUGACAUUUGGAUUGAUUCCCAUUUUCUUUACUUUUCAGCAGUGGGGUCUUUCACCUUUCAAGCUCUGCCUGAGAAGUCAACAUGGUGGCAUUUGGCUAGGUUCUUUUAGGCAACCAAUUGUUUUAACAUGAUUUGUUGAAAAGCCUAUUCUCUCUUUCAUUGAACUAUAAUGCUAGCUCUGUCAUAAAUCAAAUUUUCAUUUGAUUUAUGAUAUGAAAAUUAUAUGCAUUUGAUUGAUAUGCAUUUUUUCUCCAAUGAUACUCAACUGUCUUAAUUAUAUAAUUUUGUAGUAAUUCUUGGUAUCUAAUUAGGCAAAUACCCACUCCCAACCCUGUUUCUUUUGUUUUUAAAUCCAGGGGUGUUUUGGAUAUUCUCGUUCAUUUGUGCUUCCACCUACAUUUUUCAGUUAACUUGUCAGGUACGAAAAAAUAAAAGGCAAAAUUUUUUAUCCUUAAAUCAAUUUGGGCAAGUUUGCAGUUUUUUCUUGUAUUGUAACUUCCAAUCUAUGAAUAUGAUCUAUUUUUUCACCAAUUUAUGGCUUCUUCCAAUAACAUUUUAUAAUUGUCUUUUUAGAGGCCUUAUCUUUUGUUUAGAUUCAUAUCUAGGUAUUUAAUAUUUUUGAUGCUGUUAUAAAUGGUAUUUUUAAAAAUAUAUACAUUUUUAACUAUUUCACAUAGAAAACUUUAAUGGAUUUUUAAAAUGUAGAUUUGUAUUCAGUAAACCUGUUAAAAUCUCUUAGAAUGUCUAAGAGUUUAUUUAUUCAAUUUGAUUUUCUUUUUUUUUUUUUCUCCUGGAGACGGAGUUUCGCUCUUGUUGCCCAGGCUGGAGUGCAGUGGCAUGAUCUCAGCUCACUGCAACCUCCGGCUCCCGGGUUCAAGCAAUUCUCCUGUCUCAGCCUCCUGAGUAGCUGGGAUUACAGGCUCCCACCACCAUGCCCAGCUAAUUUUUGGUAUUUUUAGUAGAGACAGAGUUUCACCAUGUUGGCCAGGCUGGUCUCAAACUCCUGACCUCAGGUGAUCCGACUGCUUUGGCUUCCCAAACUGCUGGCAUUACAGGCGUGAGCCACUGCGCCCUGGCCUAUUCUACUGGAUUUUCUAUGCAAUUGUGUUAUAACUCAUCAUAAAGAUAAUUUUAUUUCUUUUCCACAAUCUUUACAGGUUUAAUUUUUUUCUAUGCCUUGCUGCACUCUCUAUGAUUUCCAGUAUUGGCACUACUCUGGCCUUUGGUCUUUGCUCUUGCAUCAGCCUUUCAUAAUUGGGUAUGUUUGUUGUAAGUUUUCUGUAGAGAGUCUUUAUGAGGUUAAGAGAUUUGUUUCAUUUCUAGUUUAUUAAGAGAUUUUAUUAUAGAUCAAUGUUAAAUUUUAUCAAAAUUUCUCCAUUGCAUUUCUAUUGAGAUGAUCACAUGAUUAUUAAAAAUUAGUAUAAAGAUUUAUUAUUUUGAUAUUUUAAAAUCAGGUUUAUUGAGGCAUAAUUUAUAUAUAAUAAAAUUUACCCUAUUAGAGUAUCCAGUCCAGUAAGUUUUGGUAAAUGUAUGCGAAUAACACAAUAAACAGGUUUAGAACUUUUCCAUCACCACAAAAAGUUUAUCAGGCCCCUUUGCAGUUAAUACUCACCUUCUCUCCAGCCCCAGUAAACCAUGGAUCUGCUUUUUGUUACUGUAGUUUUUCCUUUACUUUGAUUUUUUUGAGUGUUAAGCCAGCCUUACAUUUCUGAGUUAACUUGGUCAUGAUAUCUUCUACAAACAUUAAUGAAUUUAGUAUGAUUGGCUGAUGCCUUUGCUUUCCUAUACUGUCCUUGCCUGGUUGGUACAAGGAUUAUAUAAUACUUAUAAAGUGAGUUGAAGACAGUUUCCUCUUUUCACCAGCUGGAAUAAUUUAUGUAUUAUUGAAAUUAAUUGCUCCUUAAAUACUUGGCAGAAUUCACUACAAAGGCACUUAAUUCUAGACCUUUUGGAGGAAGAUAAAAUACUGAUUUUUUAAAUCAUUAUUUUAUUUUUGUAAUACAGCUUAUUUUUCCAGAAACUUCUACUUUUCGUUUACAUCUUCAAGUCAGAUUAAAGUUGUAUUAAUAACCCCUUAUUAUUUAAAUCUCAGCAGAAUGUGAAGUUAUGUUCCCCCUUUGUAUCCAUUUUUUUCUCUAGAUAUUUUUCUGUUACCUGUUUUAAAUUUAAUUCCAUUGUGGUCAGAGAUAAUACUUUGUAUGACUUGCAUUCUUUUAUGUAUAUUGAGACUUGUUAUAAGGCACAGAGUAUGGUUUAUCUUGGUAAUCAUUCGUGGCACACUUAAAAAUCAUGUGUUUUCUGCUAUUGUUGAGUGGGAUGUUCUGUAACUGUGAAUUAGGUCAAGUUAGUUGACAGUGUUGUUCAAGUCUUUUAUAUUAUUACUGACUUUCUUUCUACUCACUCUAUCAAUUAGUGAAAGGUGUCAAUAUUUCCAGUUAUAAUCAUGGAUUUGUCUAUUAUUACUUUCAGUUAGAAAUUUCUAGCUGAAAUUAUCUAUUUCUACUUUCAGUUAGUGUUAGCUUGCUAUAUCUUUUUUCCAUCCUUCUUCUUUUAACCCAAUGUAUCUUUAUAUUGACAUUACAUAUAUGAUUUAUAUUAUAUUAUGUUACUAUAUCUUGUAUGCAGCAUAUAUUUGGAUCUUUUUUAUCCAAUCUGAUGAUCUUUGCUUUUUAAUUAAUGUAUUUAGAUCAUUUACAUUUACUGUGAUUAUUAAUAUGUAUUAAGUUCAAAUCUACCACUUUGGUAUUGAAUAUCUAAUUGUCCCAUUUGUUCUUUGUUUCAAAAAAACUCUUUUUUUGCCUUUUUUUAUAUCAAGUAUUUUAAAAUUCUAUUUCAUCUUCUUUGUUUGCUUAUUAGCUAUAACUUUAUUUUGCUAAUUUAGUGGUUGCUUUAGGGUUUAUAGUAAACAUCUUCAACUUAUCACAUUCUAUGUUCUAGUCAUAUUAUAUUAUUUAACACAUAGUAUAAAAACUUUAUUGUAGUAUACUUUCAUUUUCCUCCAGUAAUUGUGCGAUUCUUGUCAUCUAUUUUGCUUCUACAUGUUAUAAACUCUACAUGAUUUUGUAAUAUUUUUGUUUAAACAAUAUUUAUUUAGACUUAAUAAUAAAUAAUAAAAAUAUAUGCUAACC